AUAUAAAUGUGUGUAUAUAUGAAACUGCAGGUCACGAAAUUAUAUCCAACAUUUGUUUCCAAUACAAUCCAUAUAAAAUGAUCAUAAUUAAUUUAUUUAUACACUGAAAAAAGUUAAACGUCUGUAUCGUUCACGUGAUCGCAUGACGUCACACUGGGUUGUUUUGCUGUCCGCCAUUACGUCGCCACAAGCGGGACGUCAGUCAGCGAGCUGGAGCUCAAAACUGUCGUAAAGAAGAAAUAACCUGCUUGCUUGCCCUAAAGUCCACUUCCUGUUCUUCUCCUCCUGGACUCAGAUUCCCAUCAUGCAGUUCUUCACUGUAACGCCGCCCUCGCCAAAGGCUUCCAGAGGGAUGUGGAGACCAAGACCACAUUGAGUACAAAAGGAGCGAUGAAUGAACAGAGAGGACCUGGAGGAGACUGUGGUGACAGUGAGCCAGCUGACCCACGUACCUGCUGACGGUGAUCACCUGGCAGAUCUGCUACAGCAAGAAGCUGUACGAGAUUCUUCAUGUCAUAUUGGACGAGGAUCUUAUGGACCUGCUCAAUCAACAAAGUGUCACCAGAUGUGACUUGAUGAUUAUGAAGUGAACAAAUAAAGAUUUGCUUUCAUGA